rnacentral:rRNA from 1 species
AUUGAACGCUGGCGGCAUGCCUUACACAUGCAAGUCGAACGGCAGCACGGGUGCUUGCACCUGGUGGCGAGUGGCGAACGGGUGAGUAAUACAUCGGAACGUACCUUAUCGUGGGGGAUAACGCAGCGAAAGCCGUGCUAAUACCGCAUACGCCCUGAAGGGGAAAGCGGGGGAUCGAAAGACCUCGCGCGAUUAGAGCGGCCGAUGCCUGAUUAGCUUGUUGGUGGGGUAAAAGCCCACCAAGGCGACGAUCAGUAGCUGGUCUGAGAGGACGAUCAGCCACACUGGGACUGAGACACGGCCCAGACUCCUACGGGAGGCAGCAGUGGGGAAUUUUGGACAAUGGGGGCAACCCUGAUUCAGCAAUGCCGCGUGAGUGAAGAAGGCCUUCGGGUUGUAAAGCUCUUUUGUCAGGGAAGAAACACCGGCUCUAACACAGUCCGGGAAUGACGGUACCUGAAGAAUAAGCACCGGCUAACUACGUGCCAGCAGCCGCGGUAA